GACGAACCACACGAACGUUAUUCGGAUUCACUGGGUUUAAAGGGUGCGUAGGCGGGUAUAUAAGUCAGUGGUGAAAGCUCCGGGCUUAACUUGGAAACUGCCAUUGAUACUGUAUAUCUUGAAUAUCGUAGAGGUUAGCGGAAUGUUGCAUGUAGCGGUGAAAUGCUUAGAUAUGUUACAGAACACCAAUUGCGAAGGCAGCUAACUAUGCGAUGAUUGACGCUGAGGCACGAAAGCGUGGGGAGCAAACAGG
rnacentral:rRNA from 1 species